AUUUCUUAAUUUUUCAAUCAGUUUGCUGUUGACCAUCGGCUGGUAGAGUCUAUAGCUGGUAGUUGUUUUCACCAAACUAUAAUUCUGUUUCUCAAUUAUUUUGUUAUUCAAAAUCUCAGUUUUGUUCUUUCGAGAUGGUUGGUUUCCCGCAGAUGAUUGUGCCUUACGAGUGGAUCCUGGAAAAUGUCGAGGAAGAACCGAUGACGAUUGCGUCGAAAAUGAUUCUUUUUCGAGGUGAAAAAGUCUUCCGUGUGGGUUUGAAGAAUUACGCGGUAGACCCCGUUUUGUUUUUGGUGGCAAUUAAUCUGAACAAAAUGGGAAUGGAGGUGAAAGACGUAAAAUAUGGAAUUCAAGGUAGUGACAUUGGUCCAGCAACGAUGUUGCAAAUGACAAAAGAGGAUACAGGAGUUGGCG